CGGCCUCAGCUCAGGCGAGACGACCCGCUUGACUUAAGCAUAUUAGUCAGCGGAGGAAAAGAAACUAACAAGGAUUCCCUCAGUAGCGGCGAGCGAAGAGGGAAGAGCCCAGCACUAAGGGUCAAUUGUAUCCUUCGGGAGGCAAUUUCGACCGAUGCAGUGUUUGGGAGCCUCGUAAGACCGUCGCUUGUCCAGUCUAAAGUCCUCAUGAAUGUGGCCCGAUUGCCCAGAGAGGGUGUCAGGCCCGUAGGACGGAUGAGCGCUCGGCAUUCCGAGGUCUCUCUAGAGUCGUGUUGCUUGAGAAUGCAGCGCUAAUCAGGUGGUAAACUCCAUCUAAGGCUAAAUAUGAAUGUGAGACCAAUAGAAGACAAGUACCGCGAGGGAAAGUUGAAAAGAACUCUGAAGAGAGAGUUAAACAUUGCGUGAAAUCCUCCAGGGGUUUAAAACGGAAGGACUUUCGAAGUUCGAGCCAUCUUCGGGAUCAGUGUCGUGGGUAGCGAGUGCUGAUGUGAUGGGUUGAGGGCAGCCUCGGCUGUUCUCUGGUCAUGUUGGUCAUCUGCGUUGCUUAC
rnacentral:ncRNA from 1 species